CAUGUAGGCGGUUUGGUAAGCCUGGUGUGAAAUCUACGAGCUUAACUCGUAAACUGCAUUGGGUACUGCUAAACUGGAAUCACAGAGGGGAAAUCGGAAUUCCAAGUGUAGGGGUGGAAUCUGUAGAUAUUUGGAAGAACACCGGUGGCGAAGGCGGGUUUCUGGCUGAUGAUUGACGCUGAGAUGCGAAGGUGCGGGGAGCAAACAGGA
rnacentral:rRNA from 1 species